rnacentral:rRNA from 2 species
AGCGUACACGGUGGAUGCCCUGGCAGUCAGAGGCGAUGAAGGACGUGCUAAUCUGCGAUAAGCGUCGGUAAGGUGAUAUGAACCGUUAUAACCGGCGAUUUCCGAAUGGGGAAACCCAGUGUGUUUCGACACACUAUCAUUAACUGAAUCCAUAGGUUAAUGAGGCGAACCGGGGGAACUGAAACAUCUAAGUACCCCGAGGAAAAGAAAUCAACCGAGAUUCCCCCAGUAGCGGCGAGCGAACGGGGAGCAGCCCAGAGCCUGAAUCAGUGUGUGUGUUAGUGGAAGCGUCUGGAAAGGCGCGCGAUACAGGGUGACAGCCCCGUACACAAAAAUGCACAUGCUGUGAGCUCGAUGAGUAGGGCGGGACACGUGGUAUCCUGUCUGAAUAUGGGGGGACCAUCCUCCAAGGCUAAAUACUCCUGACUGACCGAUAGUGAACCAGUACCGUGAGGGAAAGGCGAAAAGAACCCCGGCGAGGGGAGUGAAAAAGAACCUGAAACCGUGUACGUACAAGCAGUGGGAGCACGCUUAGGCGUGUGACUGCGUACCUUUUGUAUAAUGGGUCAGCGACUUAUAUUCUGUAGCAAGGUUAACCGAAUAGGGGAGCCGAAGGGAAACCGAGUCUUAACUGGGCGUUAAGUUGCAGGGUAUAGACCCGAAACCCGGUGAUCUAGCCAUGGGCAGGUUGAAGGUUGGGUAACACUAACUGGAGGACCGAACCGACUAAUGUUGAAAAAUUAGCGGAUGACUUGUGGCUGGGGGUGAAAGGCCAAUCAAACCGGGAGAUAGCUGGUUCUCCCCGAAAGCUAUUUAGGUAGCGCCUCGUGAAUUCAUCUCCGGGGGUAGAGCACUGUUUCGGCAAGGGGGUCAUCCCGACUUACCAACCCGAUGCAAACUGCGAAUACCGGAGAAUGUUAUCACGGGAGACACACGGCGGGUGCUAACGUCCGUCGUGAAGAGGGAAACAACCCAGACCGCCAGCUAAGGUCCCAAAGUCAUGGUUAAGUGGGAAACGAUGUGGGAAGGCCCAGACAGCCAGGAUGUUGGCUUAGAAGCAGCCAUCAUUUAAAGAAAGCGUAAUAGCUCACUGGUCGAGUCGGCCUGCGCGGAAGAUGUAACGGGGCUAAACCAUGCACCGAAGCUGCGGCAGCGACGCUGAUGCGUUGUUGGGUAGGGGAGCGUUCUGUAAGCCUGCGAAGGUGUGCUGUGAGGCAUGCUGGAGGUAUCAGAAGUGCGAAUGCUGACAUAAGUAACGAUAAAGCGGGUGAAAAGCCCGCUCGCCGGAAGACCAAGGGUUCCUGUCCAACGUUAAUCGGGGCAGGGUGAGUCGACCCCUAAGGCGAGGCCGAAAGGCGUAGUCGAUGGGAAACAGGUUAAUAUUCCUGUACUUGGUGUUACUGCGAAGGGGGGACGGAGAAGGCUAUGUUGGCCGGGCGACGGUUGUCCCGGUUUAAGCGUGUAGGCUGGUUUUCCAGGCAAAUCCGGAAAAUCAAGGCUGAGGCGUGAUGACGAGGCACUACGGUGCUGAAGCAACAAAUGCCCUGCUUCCAGGAAAAGCCUCUAAGCAUCAGGUAACAUCAAAUCGUACCCCAAACCGACACAGGUGGUCAGGUAGAGAAUACCAAGGCGCUUGAGAGAACUCGGGUGAAGGAACUAGGCAAAAUGGUGCCGUAACUUCGGGAGAAGGCACGCUGAUAUGUAGGUGAAGUCCCUCGCGGAUGGAGCUGAAAUCAGUCGAAGAUACCAGCUGGCUGCAACUGUUUAUUAAAAACACAGCACUGUGCAAACACGAAAGUGGACGUAUACGGUGUGACGCCUGCCCGGUGCCGGAAGGUUAAUUGAUGGGGUUAGCCGCAAGGCGAAGCUCUUGAUCGAAGCCCCGGUAAACGGCGGCCGUAACUAUAACGGUCCUAAGGUAGCGAAAUUCCUUGUCGGGUAAGUUCCGACCUGCACGAAUGGCGUAAUGAUGGCCAGGCUGUCUCCACCCGAGACUCAGUGAAAUUGAACUCGCUGUGAAGAUGCAGUGUACCCGCGGCAAGACGGAAAGACCCCGUGAACCUUUACUAUAGCUUGACACUGAACAUUGAGCCUUGAUGUGUAGGAUAGGUGGGAGGCUUAGAAGUGUGGACGCCAGUCUGCAUGGAGCCGACCUUGAAAUACCACCCUUUAAUGUUUGAUGUUCUAACGUUGACCCGUAAUCCGGGUUGCGGACAGUGUCUGGUGGGUAGUUUGACUGGGGCGGUCUCCUCCUAAAGAGUAACGGAGGAGCACGAAGGUUGGCUAAUCCUGGUCGGACAUCAGGAGGUUAGUGCAAUGGCAUAAGCCAGCUUGACUGCGAGCGUGACGGCGCGAGCAGGUGCGAAAGCAGGUCAUAGUGAUCCGGUGGUUCUGAAUGGAAGGGCCAUCGCUCAACGGAUAAAAGGUACUCCGGGGAUAACAGGCUGAUACCGCCCAAGAGUUCAUAUCGACGGCGGUGUUUGGCACCUCGAUGUCGGCUCAUCACAUCCUGGGGCUGAAGUAGGUCCCAAGGGUAUGGCUGUUCGCCAUUUAAAGUGGUACGCGAGCUGGGUUUAGAACGUCGUGAGACAGUUCGGUCCCUAUCUGCCGUGGGCGCUGGAGAACUGAGGGGGGCUGCUCCUAGUACGAGAGGACCGGAGUGGACGCAUCACUGGUGUUCGGGUUGUCAUGCCAAUGGCACUGCCCGGUAGCUAAAUGCGGAAGAGAUAAGUGCUGAAAGCAUCUAAGCACGAAACUUGCCCCGAGAUGAGUUCU